CAAUAGCGUAUAUUAAAGUUGUUGCAGUUAAAAAGCUCGUAGUUGGAUUUCUGGUGGGAGCGAUCGGUCUGGCGCUUAGCGCGAGUACUUGCAUCGUCUCCGGCCAUCCUUGGGGAGAGUCUGUCUGGCAUUAGGUUGUCGGGCAGAGGAUCCUCAUCGUUUACUGUGAAAAAAUUAGAGUGUUCAAAGCAGGCUUAUGCCGUUGAAUAUAUUAGCAUGGAAUAAUAAGAUAGGACUUUGGUACUAUUUUGUUGGUUUGCGCACCAAAGUAAUGAUUAAUAGGGACAGUUGGGGGUAUUCGUAUACCGUUGUCAGAGGUGAAAUUCUUGGAUUUACGGAAGACGAACUACUGCGAAAGCAUUUACCAAGGAUGUUUUCAUUAA
rnacentral:rRNA from 1 species